rnacentral:rRNA from 1 species
UACACUCCUGCGGGAGGCAGCAGUAGGGAAUCUUCCACAAUGGGUGCAAACCUGAUGGAGCAAUGCCGCGUGAGUGAAGAAGGUCUUCGGAUCGUAAAGCUCUGUUGUUAGAGAAGAACACGUGCUAGGUAACUACUAGCGCCUUGACGGUAUCUAACCAGAAAGUCACGGCUAACUACGUGCCAGCAGCCGCGGUAAUACGUAGGUGACAAGCGUUGUCCGGAUUUAUUGGGCGUAAAGGGAGCGCAGGCGGUCUGUUUAGUCUAAUGUGAAAGCCCACGGCUUAACCGUGGAACGGCAUUGGAAACUGACAGACUUGAAUGUAGAAGAGGAAAAUGGAAUUCCAAGUGUAGCGGUGGAAUGCGUAGAUAUUUGGAGGAACACCAGUGGCGAAGGCGAUUUUCUGGUCUAACAUUGACGCUGAGGCUCGAAAGCGUGGGGAGCGAACAGGAUUAGAAACCCUGGUAGUCCCA